AAUGAAAAAUGUGGCAGUUUUAAAUCCAAGCUGCUAGAGGCCUGCUCCCUCCUCCCCCCACCUUUUCUCCAGCCCCAUAUGCCUAUACAUAAUU